CCCUUGGAUACCAUUAAUGCAUUGUACACAAUGUACAUCACUUGAAAGAAUAAAUGCCUUCAAAUGAACCUUUGAUUGACUCUAUUUUCUUGGUACUAACUCCAUCAAAUUAUACAACUGGUGGAUGUACAAAGUAUCUAUGAUGGCAACGUGACAUCAUUCUUUAGCACACUAUGCGUUAGGCAAUGUUGUGGGCAAAGGAAGCAACACAACUGAUUGCAUAUCACUUGGUG
rnacentral:lncRNA from 1 species